rnacentral:tRNA from 6 species
GGAAAGGUGCUCGAGUGGCUGAAGAGGCACGCCUGGAAAGCGUGUAUACGUCAAAAGCGUAUCGGGGGUUCGAAUCCCCCUCUUUCCGCUA